rnacentral:rRNA from 1 species
CGCGGCCUAUCAGCUUGUUGGUGAGGUAAUGGCUCACCAAGGCGACGACGGGUAGCCGGCCUGAGAGGGUGACCGGCCACACUGGGACUGAGACACGGCCCAGACUCCUACGGGAGGCAGCAGUGGGGAAUAUUGCACAAUGGGCGAAAGCCUGAUGCAGCGACGCCGCGUGAGGGAUGACGGCCUUCGGGUUGUAAACCUCUUUCAGCAGGGAAGAAGCCACAAGUGACGGUACUUGCAGAAGAAGCGCCGGCUAACUACGUGCCAGCAGCCGCGGUAAUACGUAGGGCGCAAGCGUUGUCCGGAAUUAUUGGGCGUAAAGAGCUCGUAGGGGGUUUGUCGCGUCUGCUGUGAAAGCCCGGGGCUUAACCCCGGGUGUGCAGUGGGUACGGGCAGACUAGAGUGCAGUAGGGGAGACUGGAAUUCCUGGUGUAGCGGUGGAAUGCGCAGAUAUCAGGAGGAACACCGAUGGCGAAGGCAGGUCUCUGGGCUGUUACUGACGCUGAGGAGCGAAAGCAUGGGGAGCGAACAGGAUUAGAUACCCUGGUAGUCCAUGCCGUAAACGUUGGGCACUAGGUGUGGGGGACAUUCCACGUUUUCCGCGCCGUAGCUAACGCAUUAAGUGCCCCGCCUGGGGAGU